rnacentral:rRNA from 1 species
UACAGAGGUCCCGAGCGUUGUCCGGAAUCACUGGGCGUAAAGGGCGCGUAGGUGGCGUCGUAAGUCUGUGGUGAAAGCCCGGAGCUCAACUCCGGGUCUGCCGCGGAUACUGCGAGGCUUGAGUGCUGUAGAGGGGGGUAGAAUGCCGGGUGUAGCGGUGGAAUGCGUAGAGAUCCGGAAGAACACCGAUGGCGAAGGCAGAUCUCUGGGCCGUAACUGACGCUGAGGAGCGAAAGCAUGGGGAGCGAACGAGG